AUUGAACGCUGGCGGAAUGCUUUACACAUGCAAGUCGAACGGCAGCACGGGGGCAACCCUGGUGGCGAGUGGCGAACGGGUGGGUAAUACAUCGGAACGUGCCCAGUCGUGGGGGAUAACGUAGCGAAAGUUACGCUAAUACCGCAUACGAUCUACGGAUGAAAGCGGGGGACCGUAAGGCCUCGCGCGAUUGGAGCGGCCGAUGUCAGAUUAGGUAGUUGGUGAGGUAAAGGCUCACCAAGCCGACGAUCUGUAGCUGGUCUGAGAGGACGACCAGCCACACUGGGGCUGAGACACGGCCCAGACUCCUACGGGAGGCAGCAGUGGGGAAUUUUGGACAAUGGGCGCAAGCCUGAUCCAGCCAUUCCGCGUGCAGGACGAAGGCCUUCGGGUUGUAAACUGCUUUCGUACGGAACGAAAAGGCUCUGGUUAAUACCUGGGGCUCAUGACGGUACCGUAAGAAUAAGCACCGGCUAACUACGUGCCAGCCGCCGCGGUAA
rnacentral:rRNA from 1 species